GACGAACGCUGACGGUGUGCUUUAGACAUGCAAGUCGAACGAGAAAGCCUUCGGGGUGAGUACAGUGGCGAACGGGUGAGUAACACGUGGGCAAUCUGCCCCUCGCAGGGGGACAACCGGGGGAAACCCCGGCUAAUACCCCGUACGCUUGUAGAGUCGCAUGGCUCUACAAGGAAAGGUAGCUUCGGCCAUCCGGCGAGGGAUGAGCCCGCGGUGCAUUAGCUAGUUGGUGAGGUAAUGGCUCACCAAGGCGACGAUGCAUAGCUGGUCUGAGAGGAUGAUCAGCCACACUGGGACUGAGACACGGCCCAGACUCCUACGGGAGGCAGCAGUCGGGAAUCUUGCGCAAUGGGCGAAAGCCUGACGCAGCAACACCGUGUGAGCGACGAAGGCCUUCGGGUCGUAAAGCUCUGUUGUUGGGGACGAAGGGUUAGGGGUUAAUAGCCCCGAGCCUGACGGUACCCUUCGAGGAAGCCCCGGCUAACUACGUG
rnacentral:rRNA from 1 species